AUUCCAGCUCCAAUAGCGUAUAUUAAAGUUGUUGCAGUUAAAAAGCUCGUAGUUGGAUUUCUGGCGGGAGCGGCCUGUCCUGCCCUUUGCGGGGUUGAGCACAAGCGCUGCAUCCGGCCAUCCUUGUGGAGAGCGUUUCUGGCAUUCAGUUGUCGGACUCGGGAUCCGCAUCGUUUACUGUGAAAAAAUUAGAGUGUUUAAAGCAGGCAUUUGCUUGAAUACAUUAGCAUGGAAUAAUAAGAUAGGACUUAGUCGUUAUUUUGUUGGUCUUGCACGUCUAGGUAAUGAUUAAUAGGGAUAGUUGGGGGUAUUCAUAUUAAAUUGUCAGAGGUGAAAUUCUUGGAUUUAUGAAAGAUGAACUUAUGCGAAAGCAUUUACCAUGGAUGUUUUCAUCA
rnacentral:rRNA from 1 species